AGUGGCGAACGGGUGAGUAACACGUGACUACCUGCCCUUGAGUGGGGGAUAACCCCGGGAAACCGGGGCUAAUACCGCAUAAUCGCAAGCAAAGGAGCGCUUUUGGAGGGGGUCGCGGCUGAUUAGCUAGUUGGUAGGGUAAUGGCCUACCAAGGCGAAGAUCGGUAGCCGGCCUGAGAGGGCGCACGGCCACACUGGAACUGAAACACGGUCCAGACUCCUACGGGAGGCAGCAGUGGGGAAUUUUGCGCAAUGGGGGAAACCCUGACGCAGCAACGCCGCGUGGAGGAUGAAGCCCCUUGGGGCGUAAACUCCUUUCGACCGGGACGAUUGACGGUACCGGUGGAAGAAGCACCGGCUAACUCUGUGCCAGCAGCCGCGGUAAUACAG
rnacentral:rRNA from 1 species